rnacentral:tRNA from 1 species
GGUGAGGUGGCGGAGCGGUUGAACGCACCGGUCUUGAAAACCGGCGUGGCCUCCGGGUCACCGUGGGUUCGAAUCCCACCCUCACCG